rnacentral:rRNA from 1 species
UGGGGAAUCUUGGACAAUGGGCGCAAGCCUGAUCCAGCCAUGCCGCGUGAGUGAAGAAGGCCUUCGGGUUGUAAAGCUCUUUUACCAGGGACGAUAAUGACGGUACCUGGAGAAUAAGCCCCGGCAAACUUCGUGCCAGCAGCCGCGGUAAUACGAAGGGGGCUAGCGUUGUUCGGAAUUACUGGGCGUAAAGGGCGCGUAGGCGGCAUGACAAGUCACUUGUGAAAUCUCUGGGCUUAACCCAGAACGGCCAAGUGAUACUGUCGCGCUAGAGUGCAGAAGGGGCAAUCGGAAUUCUUGGUGUAGCGGUGAAAUGCGUAGAUAUCAAGAGGAACACCUGAGGUGAAGACGGGUUGCUGGGCUGACACUGACGCUGAGGCGCGAAAGCCAGGGGAGCAAACGGGAUUAGAUACCCCAGUAGUCCCUGAGCGGGCUGGCAAGGCGCAU